rnacentral:ncRNA from 1 species
GCAAUAGAGGCGCGAAUGUCAAGAGUACCUGCCUGGAGGCUGCGGAGAGCCUGGGAAGGACAGGAAAAGGGGGAUUCGCCGAAACAGGCAUUUUCCGCAGAUGCUUAAGUUGGGGUGCAGGCGAAGAGGCUGCACACUCUCACCUUAGGGUGGAG